rnacentral:lncRNA from 1 species
GCGAUAAGGCGGAGGGCCGGAGGCGGCGCCGGGAAGGCGAGAAGAGAUCGCCGGAGGCGGCGCCGGGAAGGCGAGAAGAGAUCGCCGGAGGCGGAGCGAGCGAGGCGCGACUGCGAGCUGCUGCCGCGGGGGCGCUGCGUGCGAGAGGAGAGAGCCACCUGCUGCGGCGGCGCCGCAAAGAGAGUGGGGCGGGGGAGGGGCGAGUCGCGGCGGUAGGGCAGGGUUGGGAGGGGAGGGGGCGUCUUCACUCUUG